rnacentral:lncRNA from 1 species
AUGUACUUUUUUCCAGUUGUCCCAUUUAGGAACUGUAAAUAUGAACCAGAGUGUGUCUAUUAUCACAUGACCUUUACCAAGCAGGAAACUGAGGAAAGAUUGGCAGCAACCAGCCGCCCCAGCUGCAACUGGUGCCCGAACAGGGACCGGGGCCAGUCCAACGUGACCGCUGCCUCACCCCCGUGGGACCUCGCUCCCACCCCUUCGCCGUGCUCUCAAGGUAAGGACCCCCGUUAUCGGCCCCCGGCAGAAAAAUGGGCGGGCGUCUAUCUUCCCGCCAAGCGCCGCAAGUCAGAGCACUUGCUGGCCUACUAGCCUGCCACCAAUGUAAAGUUUCGGGCAGGCAACUCCAGGCUUACUGGGAUCUACUGGUCCCCUUCAACCCCUAGCUUUCCACUGCCAAUCUCUCGGACCCUGAUACCU